GUGAAUCAUCAAAUUUUUGAACGCAAAUUGCACUCCCUGGUAUUCCGGGGAGUAUGCCUGUUUGAGGGUCGUUAGAAUAAAAAAUCGACAUAGUCGCUGUUUUCGCGGUGAUAUUCGUCGGAAAUUGGGUCAUCUUAAACCUUUGGGUUUUAACCGGUUUAAAAUUUUCUUUACGAUUCAACGAACGUUUCAAAGAUUUACUUCUUACACAC
rnacentral:misc_RNA from 1 species